CCUAACACAUGCAAGUCGAGCGGAUGAAGGGAGCUUGCUCCUGGAUUCAGCGGCGGACGGGUGAGUAAUGCCUAGGAAUCUGCCUGGUAGUGGGGGAUAACGUCCGGAAACGGGCGCUAAUACCGCAUACGUCCUGAGGGAGAAAGUGGGGGAUCUUCGGACCUCACGCUAUCAGAUGAGCCUAGGUCGGAUUAGCUAGUUGGUGGGGUAAAGGCCUACCAAGGCGACGAUCCGUAACUGGUCUGAGAGGAUGAUCAGUCACACUGGAACUGAGACACGGUCCAGACUCCUACGGGAGGCAGCAGUGGGGAAUAUUGGACAAUGGGCGAAAGCCUGAUCCAGCCAUGCCGCGUGUGUGAAGAAGGUCUUCGGAUUGUAAAGCACUUUAAGUUGGGAGGAAGGGCAGUAAGUUAAUACCUUGCUGUUUUGACGUUACCAACAGAAUAAGCACCGGCUAACUUCGUGCCAGCAGCCGCGGUAAUACGAAGGGUGCAAGCGUUAAUCGGAAUUACUGGGCGUAAAGCGCGCGUAGGUGGUUCAGCAAGUUGGAUGUGAAAUCCCCGGGCUCAACCUGGGAACUGCAUCCAAAACUACUGAGCUAGAGUACGGUAGAGGGUGGUGGAAUUUCCUGUGUAGCGGUGAAAUGCUGAGAUAUAGUAAGGAACACCAAGUGGAGAAGGCGACCACCUGGACUGAUACUGACACUGAGGUGCGAAAGCGUGGGGAGCAAACAGGAUUAUAUACUCUGGUAGUCCACGCCGUAAACGAUGUCUACUAACCGUUGGGAUCCUUGAGAUCUAUUGGCUCACUAACGCGAUAAUUCGACCGCCUGGGUGAGACAGGCGCAAGGUAAAACUCACAGGAAUUGACCGGCGGCCCGCACAAGCCGGUGAACUAGGAGGUUUAAU
rnacentral:rRNA from 1 species